CAGCCGCCGCGGUAAAACCAGCACCUCAAGUGGUCAGGAUGAUUAUUGGGCCUAAAGCAUCCGUAGCCUGCUUUGCCAGUUUUCGGUUAAAUCCAUACGCUCAACGUAUGGGCUGCCGGGAAUACUACAAAGCUAGGGAGUGGGAGAGGUAGACGGUACUCGGUAGGAAGGGGUAAAAUCCUUUGAUCUAUUGAUGACCACCUGUGGCGAAGGCGGUCUACCAGAACACGUCCGACGGUGAGGGAUGAAAGCUGGGGGAGCAAACCGGAUUAGAUACCCGGGUAGUCCCAGCUGUAAAUUAUGCAAACUCGGUGAUGCAUUGGCUUGAUGCCAAUGCAGUGCCGCAGGGAAGCCGUUAAGUUUGCCGCCUGGGAAGUACGUACGCAAGUAUGAAACUUAAAGGAAUUGGCGGGGGAGCAC
rnacentral:rRNA from 2 species